rnacentral:rRNA from 1 species
GACGAACGCUGGCGGCGUGCUUAACACAUGCAAGUCGAACGGUGAAGCGCCUUCCUUUUUGGUGGGUGUGGAUGAGUGGCGAACGGGUGAGUAACACGUGAGUAACCUGCUCCCUUCUUCUGGAUAACCGCGUGAAAGUGUGGCUAAUACGGGAUAUUCUGGGUCUGUCGCAUGAUGGGUCUGGGGAAGAUAUUGUUUCGGUGGGGGAUGGGCUCGCGGUCUAUCAGCUUGUUGGUGGGGUGCUGGCCUACCAAGGCGGUGACGGGUAGCCGGCCGGGGAGGAUGGACGGUCACACAGGGACGGAGACGCGGAGCAGACUACGACGGGAGGCAGCAGGGGGGAAUAUUGCACGGGGGGCGGAAGGCUGAUGCAGCGCCGCGUCGUGGGGGAUGGAGUCCUGCGGGUUGUGAACCUCUUUCGCGAGUGAAGCAGGGCUGCCUCGUUUGUGGGUGGGUUGACGGUAGCUGGAUAAGAAGCGCCGGCUAACUACGUG